rnacentral:rRNA from 1 species
UGACUGACCGAUAGUGAACCAGUACCGUGAGGGAAAGGCGAAAAGAACCCCGGCGAGGGGAGUGAAAAAGAACCUGAAACCGUGUACGUACAAGCAGUGGGAGCCUCUUUAUGGGGUGACUGCGUACCUUUUGUAUAAUGGGUCAGCGACUUAUAUUCUGUAGCAAGGUUAACCGAAUAGGGGAGCCGAAGGGAAACCGAGUCUUAACUGGGCGUUAAGUUGCAGGGUAUAGACCCGAAACCCGGUGAUCUAGCCAUGGGCAGGUUGAAGGUUGGGUAACACUAACUGGAGGACCGAACCGACUAAUGUUGAAAAAUUAGCGGAUGACUUGUGGCUGGGGGUGAAAGGCCAAUCAAACCGGGAGAUAGCUGGUUCUCCCCGAAAGCUAUUUAGGUAGCGCCUCGUGAACUCAUCUCCGGGGGUAGAGCACUGUUUCGGCAAGGGGGUCAUCCCGACUUACCAACCCGAUGCAAACUGCGAAUACCGGAGAAUGUUAUCACGGGAGACACACGGCGGGUGCUAACGUCCGUCGUGAAGAGGGAAACAACCCAGACCGCCAGCUAAGGUCCCAAAGUCAUGGUUAAGUGGGAAACGAUGUGGGAAGGCCCAGACAGCCAGGAUGUUGGCUUAGAAGCAGCCAUCAUUUAAAGAAAGCGUAAUAGCUCACUGGUCGAGUCGGCCUGCGCGGAAGAUGUAACGGGGCUAAACCAUGCACCGAAGCUGCGGCAGCGACACUAUGUGUUGUUGGGUAGGGGAGCGUUCUGUAAGCCUGCGAAGGUGUGCUGUGAGGCAUGCUGGAGGUAUCAGAAGUGCGAAUGCUGACAUAAGUAACGAUAAAGCGGGUGAAAAGCCCGCUCGCCGGAAGACCAAGGGUUCCUGUCCAACGUUAAUCGGGGCAGGGUGAGUCGACCCCUAAGGCGAGGCCGAAAGGCGUAGUCGAUGGGAAACAGGUUAAUAUUCCUGUACUUGGUGUUACUGCGAAGGGGGGACGGAGAAGGCUAUGUUGGCCGGGCGACGGUUGUCCCGGUUUAAGCGUGUAGGCUGGUUUUCCAGGCAAAUCCGGAAAAUCAAGGCUGAGGCGUGAUGACGAGGCACUACGGUGCUGAAGCAACAAAUGCCCUGCUUCCAGGAAAAGCCUCUAAGCAUCAGGUAACAUCAAAUCGUACCCCAAACCGACACAGGUGGUCAGGUAGAGAAUACCAAGGCGCUUGAGAGAACUCGGGUGAAGGAACUAGGCAAAAUGGUGCCGUAACUUCGGGAGAAGGCACGCUGAUAUGUAGGUGAAGUCCCUCGCGGAUGGAGCUGAAAUCAGUCGAAGAUACCAGCUGGCUGCAACUGUUUAUUAAAAACACAGCACUGUGCAAACACGAAAGUGGACGUAUACGGUGUGACGCCUGCCCGGUGCCGGAAGGUUAAUUGAUGGGGUCAGCGCAAGCGAAGCUCUUGAUCGAAGCCCCGGUAAACGGCGGCCGUAACUAUAACGGUCCUAAGGUAGCGAAAUUCCUUGUCGGGUAAGUUCCGACCUGCACGAAUGGCGUAAUGAUGGCCAGGCUGUCUCCACCCGAGACUCAGUGAAAUUGAACUCGCUGUGAAGAUGCAGUGUACCCGCGGCAAGACGGAAAGACCCCGUGAACCUUUACUAUAGCUUGACACUGAACAUUGAGCCUUGAUGUGUAGGAUAGGUGGGAGGCUUAGAAGUGUGGACGCCAGUCUGCAUGGAGCCGACCUUGAAAUACCACCCUUUAAUGUUUGAUGUUCUAACGUUGACCCGUGAUCCGGGUUGCGGACAGUGUCUGGUGGGUAGUUUGACUGGGGCGGUCUCCUCCUAAAGAGUAACGGAGGAGCACGAAGGUUGGCUAAUCCUGGUCGGACAUCAGGAGGUUAGUGCAAUGGCAUAAGCCAGCUUGACUGCGAGCGUGACGGCGCGAGCAGGUGCGAAAGCAGGUCAUAGUGAUCCGGUGGUUCUGAAUGGAAGGGCCAUCGCUCAACGGAUAAAAGGUACUCCGGGGAUAACAGGCUGAUACCGCCCAAGAGUUCAUAUCGACGGCGGUGUUUGGCACCUCGAUGUCGGCUCAUCACAUCCUGGGGCUGAAGUAGGUCCCAAGGGUAUGGCUGUUCGCCAUUUAAAGUGGUACGCGAGCUGGGUUUAGAACGUCGUGAGACAGUUCGGUCCCUAUCUGCCGUGGGCGCUGGAGAACUGAGGGGGGCUGCUCCUAGUACGAGAGGACCGGAGUGGACGCAUCACUGGUGUUCGGGUUGUCAUGCCAAUGGCACUGCCCGGUAGCUAAAUGCGGAAGAGAUAAGUGCUGAAAGCA